rnacentral:rRNA from 1 species
AUUGAACGCUGGCGGCAUGCCUUACACAUGCAAGUCGGACGGCAGCACGGGAGCAAUCCUGGUGGCGAGUGGCGAACGGGUGAGUAAAGUAUCGGAACGUGCCCAGUCGUGGGGGAUAACGUAGCGAAAGUUACGCUACUACCGCAUACGAUCUAUGGAUGAAAGCGGGGGAUCGCAAGACCUCGCGCGAUUGGAGCGGCCGACAUCAGAUUAGGUAGUUGGUGGGGAAAAGGCUCACCAAGCCGACGAUCUGUAGCUGGUCUAAGAGGACGACCAGCCACAGUGAGACUGAGUCGCGGCACAGCCUCCUACGGAGGGCAGGCGUGGGGAGAUGUAGACAAUGGGCGGAAGCCUGCUCCAUCCAUGCCGCGUGCAGGAUGAAGGCCUUCGGGUUGUAAACUGCUUUUGUACGGAACGAAAAGGUUUGGCCUAAUAAGCUGAGCUCAUGACGGUACCGUAAGAAUAAGCACCGGCUAACUACGUGCCAGCCGCCGCGGUAA